AGUGGCUCAUUCACCUUCUUAUGUCAGCCCCUUCGGGACGUGCUACAUAAACUUCGAAUGACGCACAACAAGGUGCCUGCCGUCCAACUUCUGAUAAUAGCUUGGCUUUAUCAACCAUCGGGCGAAACGUCGAGUUAGGCACCGCCU
rnacentral:sRNA from 1 species